GAAUGCUAAAAGAAUGGAAAUUUAAAAAAAAACUUUUUUAAAAAUAAAAAUUGAAUUUUUUUUAAUUUGUGCAAAAACAAUUAUAUUUAUUAAAGACAAGAAGACCCUAAGAAUUUAAGAUUUUACAAUUAAAAAGUUUUUUUUUUUAAAAUCUUGAUUGGGGCGAUCAAAAAAUAUCAAUAACUUUUUAAAAUUUAAAUUGAUCUAUUAUUAAUAAACUAAUGAAUUAAAUACUCUAGGGAUAACAGCGUAAUAAUUUUUGAUAGAUCUUAUUGACAAAAUAGUUUGCGACCUCGAUGUUGGAUUAGGAUUCUUUUUUAAUGAAGAAGUUAAAAAAAGAAGUUUGUUCAACUUUUAAAUUCCUACUUGAUCUGAGUUCAAACCG
rnacentral:rRNA from 1 species